rnacentral:tRNA from 1 species
GCCUGGGUGGCUCAGUCGGUUGAGCGUCCGACUUCGGCUCGGGUCACGAUCUCACGGUCUGUGGGUUCGAGCCCCACGUCGGGCU